rnacentral:rRNA from 1 species
UACGGAGGAUGCAAGCGUUAUCCGGAAUUAUUGGGCGUAAAGCGUCCGCAGGUGGUUGUACAAGUCUGCUGUUAAAGCGUCCAGCUUAACUGGAUACAAGCAGUGGAAACUGUGCGACUAGAGUUUGGUAGGGGUCACGGGAAUUCCCAGUGUAGCGGUGAAAUGCGUAGAUAUUGGGAAGAACACCAGCGGCGAAAGCGCGUGACUGGGCCUGAACUGACACUCAUGGACGAAAGCUAGGGGAGCGAAAGGG